AUUGAACGCUGGCGGCAUGCCUUACACAUGCAAGUCGAACGGCAGCGCGGACUUCGGUCUGGCGGCGAGUGGCGAACGGGUGAGCAAUACAUCGGAACGUACCCUGUUGUGGGGGAUAACUAGUCGAAAGAUUAGCUAAUACCGCAUACGACCUGAGGGUGAAAGUGGGGGACCGCAAGGCCUCACGCAGCAGGAGCGGCCGAUGUCUGUUUAGCUAGUUGGUGGGGUAAAGGCCCACCAAGGCGACGAUCAGUAGCUGGUCUGAGAGGACGAUCGGCCACACUGGGACUGAGACACGGCCCAGACUCCUACGGGAGGCAGCAGUGGAGAAUUUUGGACAAUGGGGGCAACCCUGAUCCAGCAAUGCCGCGUGUGUGAAGAAGGCCUUCGGGUUGUAAAGCACUUUUGUCCGGAAAGAAAUCGCGCUGGUUAAUACCUGGCGUGGAUGACGGUACCGGAAGAAUAAGCACCGGCUAACUACGUGCCAGCCGCCGCCGUAA
rnacentral:rRNA from 1 species